GCGCCCUUGGUGUAGCAGUAACACACAAUUUACUUCUAUCACAGUAUGCCUUCCUUUAGAUUGGGUCCGGGGUUCAACUCCCCGAGGGCGCC